GUGAAAGUGAAAGUGUUCAGACUUGUUCUAACAACAAGGAGCAGACGGAGGAGACGUGAAGUCUGAGGCUGAGAGAAGAAGAUUCAGGAUGAACUUCUGUCAGUCAAUCAACAGUUUGACUCAACGCUGUGAUUGGCUGAGUCCAACACAUUAAACCUACACCUGUCUCAGACUGAAGAUGAGUGGUUAUGAGGAGGAAGAGGAGGACAGAGCAGAGUCUCCAGGGUUCAGCUGUGUGUCUCUGAAGAGUGACAUGUCCAUGGAACAGCCUCCAGUCUUCAGUAAUGAACCUGGACCCUCACACACAGAAGGUCAGGACCACAGACUGAGAGCCGAGUCUCCAGGGUUCAGCUGUCUGUCUCUGAAGAGUGACUGGUCCAUAGGAAUUCCUCCAGUCUUCAGUAAAGAACCUGGACCCUCACACACAGAAGAGAGGAAGAGGAGUCAUGUUUCUGAGGAGGAGCAGUCGUCCUGC